rnacentral:rRNA from 1 species
CAGCACCUCAAGUGGUCAGGAUGAUUAUUGGGCCUAAAGCAUCCGUAGCCUGUUCUGUAAGUUUCCGGUUAAAUCCAUUAGCUCAACUAAUGGGCUGCCGAAAAUACUGCAAAACUAGGGAGUGGGAGAGGUAGACGGUACUCGGUAGGAAGGGGUAAAAUCCUUUGAUCUAUUGAUGACCACCUGUGGCGAAGGCGGUCUACCAGAACACGUUCGACGGUGAGGGAUGAAAGCUGGGGGAGCAAACCGGAUUAGAGACCCGAGUAGUCC